rnacentral:rRNA from 1 species
AGAGUUUGAUCCUGGCUCAGAUUGAACGCUGGCGGCAUGCCUUACACAUGCAAGUCGAACGGUAACAGGUCUUCGGAUGCUGACGAGUGGCGAACGGGUGAGUAACACAUCGGAACGUGCCCGAUCAUGGGGGAUAACGGAGCGAAAGCUUUGCUAAUACCGCAUACGAUCUACGGAUGAAAGCAGGGGACCCUUGGGCCUUGCGCGGACGGAGCGGCCGAUGGCAGAUUAGGUAGUUGGUGGGAUAAAAGCUUACCAAGCCGACGAUCUGUAGCUGGUCUGAGUGGACGACCAGCCACACUGGGACUGAGACACGGCCCAGACUCCUACGGGAGGCAGCAGUGGGGAAUUUUGGACAAUGGGCGCAAGCCUGAUCCAGCCAUGCCGCGUGCAGGAUGAAGGCCUUCGGGUUGUAAACUGCUUUUGUACGGAACGAAAAGACUCCUUUUAAUAAAGGGGGUUCAUGACGGUACCGUAAGAAUAAGCACCGGCUAACUACGUGCCAGCAGCCGCGGUAAUA